rnacentral:tRNA from 1 species
UCCCUGGCAGUCCAGUGAUUAGGACUCCGCACUUUCACUGCUGAAAGCACAGGCUCAAUCCCUGGUUGGGGAA